rnacentral:rRNA from 1 species
AGAGUUUGAUCCUGGCUCAGGACGAACGCUUGCGGCGUGCCUAAGAAAUGCAAGUCGAGCGGGGAGUAAGAUUUCGGUUUUACUUCUAGCGGCGAACGGUCGCGUAACACGUAAGCAACCUGCCCCGAAGACCGGGACAACAGCUCGAAAGGGCUGCUAAUACCGGAUGUGGCCACUGGGGGACAUCCCCUGGUGAUUAAAUCCCGCAAGGGGCUUCGGGAGGGGCUUGCGGCCUAUCAGCUAGUUGGUGGGGUAACGGCCUACCAAGGCGACGACGGGUAGCUGGUCUGAGAGGACGGCCAGCCGGACUGGGACUGAGAUACGGCCCAGACUCCUACGGGGGGCAGCAAUUAGGAAUUUUGCGCAAUGGGCGAAAGCCUGACGCAGCGACGCCGCGUGGAGGAGGAAGUCCUUCGGGAUGUAAACUCCUUUUUCCGGGGAAGAAUGGCUCUGUAAUAUGGGCUUUGACGGUACCCGGUGAAUAAGCCCGGCUAACUACGUGCCAGCAGCCGCGGUA